rnacentral:lncRNA from 1 species
UACCAAAACAGAGAUAUAGACCAAUGGAACAGAACAGAGCCCUCAGAAACAAUGCCACAUAUCUACAACUAUCUGAUCUUUGACAAACCUGACAAAAACAAGAAAUGGGGAAGGGAUUCCCUAAAAGGCCCAGAAAUAAACCCUCACAUAUAUGGUAAAAUGAUUUUUGACAAGGGUGCCAAGACCAUUCAAUGGGGAAAGGACCAUCUUUUCAACAAACGGUCCUGGGUAAAUUGGAUGUCCACAUGUGAAAUAAUGAAAUUGGACCCUUACAUAACACCCUAUAUGAAAAUUAACUCAAAAUGGAUUGAAGACCUAAAUUUAAGGCGUAAAACUAUAAAACUCAUGAAAAAACAUACGGAGGACAAAAUCUUCACAACAUUGGAUUUGGCAGUGAUGUCUUGGAUAUGACAGGAAAGGAAGAAGCAACAACAAAGAAUUGGGCUUCAUAAAAAAUCAAAAAAUUUGUGCAUCCAAAGAUACUACCAAAAGUUAAAAGGCAGCCUAAAGAAUGGAAGAAAAUACUUCAAAAUCAUAUAUCUGAGAAAGGAUUGAU